rnacentral:pre_miRNA from 1 species
AGGAGGAACAACCGCAGUGGCUGCUUUGAAAACCUGGAUUCAGCCCCCGCAGGAACUCCGGAGCUCUCCGUCUGUAGGGCCUGGAGGCUCCGGGCGUGG